GUGCUCGCUUCGGCAGCACAUAUACUAAAAUUGGAACGAGACAGAGAAGAUUAGCAUGGCCCCUGUGCAAGGAUAAUACGCAAAUUCAUUAAGCAUUCCAUAUUUUA